GCUACCAUGGCGUUGUGGUCACUGCACUCGCCUUGCACGCGGGAGACCCGGGUUCGAUUCCCGGCGGGGUCA
rfam:Asian citrus Psyllid, Diaphorina citri - Florida Strain, whole genome shotgun sequence.